UUUGUUUUCUCUCAAUCGAUUUAUGACUUUUGAACACCGGUAUACCACUGUUGCCUUUAUUUGUUGAGGAGAAUUACAACUAGUACGUACUAACGAGCAGUAUGUUUCAAAUUUCCGUUAUUUUUGUCAGCAUUUUGUUGUUGACUGAUUGUAAAACCAUUGGUAAUGAUACAGAAGCCAGUGACAUUUCAGACCUUGUAAAACAAGUUGAAGAUUUAGAAAAUAAAUUGAUAAAUUUAAGCGAUAACCUUACAAAAGACCAAGUUUUGCUUUACGUCACAUUAUCAGAGAGCAUGAAAGAUGUGAGCAAUGAAGUGACUGUUAUUUUUGACAGACCCCAGAUAAAUCCCGGAACUCAUUAUAAUCAGAAUGAUGGAAUAUACAUUGCACCUUUCUCUGGACAAGUCAUGGUUUUCUGGACAAUUGGCACUAAUGAGACUGCAAGAACGGAACUCCUGGUUGAAGAUAGAGUUGUCGGUACUUUGAUAACUACUGCAAGUUCUGUGACCACCCAAAACAGAUACGGUAGUUCCAAUACAGUGAAAGAAUCCUCAUCUUCCACCGUGGCUGUUACUGAUGUUCAAAAGGGAAACCACAUAUUUCUGAGAACUGCAUCAGAUGAUAACCACAUUAUCAAAACUGUUUCAUCUUUACUGAUAAGACGUACGCUUUAAGUUAAAAAAAAAUGAGUCAUACUUUUUGCAUUUACGUUGGAGCAAUUGGUAUAACAAUUUGGCUUCAAACCAAUUUCAUCCUCAAACGUUUGAACUAUUCUUUCGAUGAGAUUUUAUUGAAAUGUUUUUAUGUCCAUUUUUGCUUGCUUUUCUUUCUACACCUACUGUAGACGGCUUAUCAUAGUGUUAAGUUCAAAACCUAGUUAGUAGUUUUUAAAAACGUAGACCAAAAAAAAGCAUUCAGAGGUCAACAUUGAUUAAAUGAUGUCGCUAACGUAUCACGUUUUUUUUGCAACCUCAACCUGUGACAUAUGAGGAAUGCAUUUUUCGACUGAUUUUAAUAAUUAGCUUAAAAACGCUUUUUUUCUAGUAUCAUGACAGUCUAAUAAAAAUGUAUUCUUUUCAAUGAAUUGCUGAACAAAUCUAGAGUCUACCUAUGUGAAUAAGAUAUUCUAAAUGCAUUUACAUAAAUCUGCUUGUGUUUAUCUUUUGAAACAAUAAAGUUAGGUAUGUCUGUCCAAAAGAUAAAAAUGUCCAAGAAACAGAAACUUUGUAAAUUUCGACCCAAUUAUCUCUAAAAGAAAGCACAUGAGAAUAUAUUUUUUUAUAUAGAUUUUAAUUGACAAGAGGAAAAAUAGCUUGUAUGGACAUUUUCGUCAAAAAUCACCGUGCAAUCCUAACUGUGUUGUAUGCGCUUAAUCAACAUGUCAUUACCUACAAUAUUUUUUAAAUACUUCUGUCAACUUUGUAUUGUCACUUGUUUUUAAUUAAAUAUAUUUUUAUUUC